UACGAAGGGGGCUAGCGUUGUUCGGAUUUACUGGGCGUAAAGCGCACGUAGGCGGGUCAUUUGAUAGCAGGGGUGAAAUCCCGGGCUCAACCUCGGAACUGCCUUUGAUACUGCGAAUCUUGAGUCCGAUAGAGGUGGGUGGAAUUCCUAGUGUAGAGGUGAAAUUCGUAGAUAUUAGGAAGAACACCGGUGCGAAGGCGGCCCACUGGAUCGGUACUGACGGCUGAGGUGCGAA
rnacentral:rRNA from 1 species